UACGGGGGGGGCAAGCGUUGUUCGGAAUUACUGGGCGUAAAGGGCUUGUAGGCGGCCAACUAAGUCAUACGUGAAAUCCCUCGGCUUAACCGGGGAACUGCAUCUGAUACUGGAUGGCUUGAGUUCGGGAGAGGGAUGCGGAAUUCCAGGUGUAGCGGUGAAAUGCGCAGAUAUCAGGAGGAACACCAAUUGCGAAGGCAGCUCGCUGGGACGUUACUGACGCUGAGACGCGAAAGCGUGGGGAGCAAACAGG
rnacentral:rRNA from 1 species